CCGCAUGCUUAGCUUAAAAAAACUGUUUUGGGAAGUCACAACUGCACAGUCACAAUCUCGUUUACAAAAGAACUUUAUUUCGAAGCGAUCGCCGCAACGUUGACUGCGCCGAUUCCCGUUCCUUCAAUCAUCGCCCGACUCGCUGCUGCCAUACGAGGCUUCGUCGCCGCUCUCGAAGACGCAAUCGUCUUCGGUGCCAUCCAAGCAAUCGCUUUUUUCUUUCGCGGUGAAAGAUUGCCGCUGAGACCCACUCAUGGUGCCUCACCAGACAAGGCUGACCAAUGGUGCAAACUGGCCACACCUGACUCGGAGACAGACGCUGUCAAAUCGCUGUUGUGACGCUGUUGACCAAAUCAAACAAAGCACGCAAAAAGUGAAUAAACACGCUACGGAGGGGA